UCCCAAGCUAUGUGUUGAACAUUUAUGUUACAAAAACAAUUUUAAAAGAUUAAUCAUAUAAUAAGGGUAAACGUUGAGGGAAGGGUGAUUUUAAUACAAAAGUUAACAGACCUCUCUGUGAAUGCUUCAAUGGCGGGGAUGGUGGUGUCAAAGUAGAACUUGGUGGCCGGAGUGGAGUUCAGGUAGAGGAGGUUACGUGAAGAAGAGCAAGUAUGUGUUAGUUUAGGCUACAAAUGAGGAGGGACGUAUUAAGAUGACUAUAUUUGUGAGCAACAUAUUUAGGAUAAAUAUAUAUUAAAGGAGUAUGUGUAAUUGUAUUUUAAAAUAUGACGAAUAAGUGAAAAUCAUAGCAACAAAAUGGUUGAUGAGGACUCACUGGUCAAUGAGAAAACGGACCACAACUCGAGUUGUUGCGGUGACGUUGUUGAGGGCUGAGACUUGGAAGGACCUUAUUUGGGCUACAACAUCUACAAAUAAAUAAAAUUAAAAUUUCUCACACGUUUAUAUAAAUGUAGGGAUUGCUUUUUGUAGACUUGAGAAGCAAAAUAUGAACCAUUACCGGGUAGUUCAAAGUUAGUGUUUGCUAAAGCUUGGAGGUGGUGGAACUUUCUGAGCAUGAACUUCUGAAAGUCAAUGAAAGGGGCAGCGGUUAGGAUUGUUGUAGUGGUGGGGAUGAGACAGAUUACAAAAGGAUGAUCCUUAAUCUUGUACAUGUUUGUGCAUCGCCCAACAUUAAACCGAACAACUUUGACAAUCGCACCAGUUCUUUGAGAAACACGGUACUGAUUGGCACAAGCAGCAUGGAUAAACCUAUGAAUGACCGAAUUCUGGGCAACCAUACAUGAAGAAAGUCAUUAGAAUCUCACAUACAGACCUAAGGGGUUUUGUUUUUUUUUAUAUAAUUUUUCACUCUCCAUCAAGAAAUUCCGAGGUAAUCAUUUUUGUGAAAGAUUGGAUGUAGAUACCUUUUCAUCUAGUGAUAGCCAUAAACUCUCCAUUCUUCUUGAUGUUGCUGGAAUCCCCGAAGCUUAGGACACGGCCGACAAUGAACUGAGUUGACCGACCAAGGCCGAGAUCGUCGAAUGUGGCGUGGGGACCGGCUGAUUGAGCAGCAACAACAGCAGAUGAAGACAUUUUGAACGUGUGUGGUAUAAGCUAUGGCGGAUGACGAAAGCAGGGAUGGGAGGUGCAAUGUUCAAUUCCUGGCUCCAUGAUCAACUUUAUACAGAGACGGGUAUGGCAGACGUUUGAAACAAUCGAGUGAUCAAGUAUCAUAAAAAGAGGGGAAGAUGGAAGGGGAGUAACAAGAUUAAACGAAGAGAGGGGAGAUGCAAGAAGGGUUUGACGAUGGAUCUCAAAUGGGAAGAUGAAAGAAGGGAGGUGCAGGAAGAUGAAGGGUUUGACGAUGGAUCUCAAAAUGGGACCCUGUCAGAUACAUAAAUUUUGGCCUGGUUCAGACCGAGAAAAUAAGUGACGUGGCAGAAAGUCAAUCUCUGAUUGGCUUGAAUUUCCAGUUCGACGUGGACCUCCUCAGAGGACUUUAUAUUUGGCUUUUAGUAUAGUUUUAAUGAUACUUGCACAUUUCAACUUAAAAUAAACCGAUUGGUUUUAUCAGACACGAUAGAUCAAACCAUGUCCAGCCGGGUCUUUUAAAUUAUUAUAAGGAUAAACAAACUUAACAUAGUUUCUCAAACAGAUUUAUUUGAACUGACAAUAACAUAUGGCUGGCAUUAACAACCUUUAUAUCUCUGAUUAGUUGUCUUGAGGCUCUGAGUCGUCCGCCGCUUUCACCGACUUGGACACGAAUGUAACCGGUUUGUUUUGGUUCUCAUUUACCCUCAAGUUAAAUAUAUCUGGCCGUGAGUAAUGUCCGACCACAUCGAAGUAUAACUUGGCACGUGCGAUAUCGCCAAGAUCUAGAUGAGAAAAAAGAAAGAUGGUUUAUCGAAAUGGUUAGGUAAAAAAGGUUCAUAAUUUUAAGAUGAAGAUCAAAUACCAAGAUCAGCAGUGACGAGACACUCUGAUUCAAAGUUUGGUCCGGCGAGAAUCUUUCCUAAUGGUGAAAUAAUGACACUACCGCCCUGGGAGACAAUAGCCUCUUGGUGUUGAUCGUCGUACCAGUCGGUGAACAAGUAAUCGGCAUGCUCAGGGAAAUCUUUACGCUUGCAGAACUGGCAAGCCGACAUCACGAAGCAUCCACCCUCCAAUGCAAUGUGCAUCAUCGACGAUUGCCAUUCCGUGGAACCGUCAGCAGUAGGUGCACAAUAUAAUUCAAUUCCUGCAGCAGCCCAAAAAUUAAUUAUUAAGGAGUCUUACAUUAAAAGUCAGAAAGGGCAAAUGAUAUUAGGAGUCUUACCUUUCCCGUACAAGGAAGUUCUUAAGAGGGUGUUGGGAUUGUGAAAUCCCGUGUCCAACUCUAUCUUAUCUUAUUAGUACGAUAUUGUCCACUUUGGGCCUAGGAGGCUAGCCCGCAUGGAUUUACUUUUGGUUUCCUUCCCAAAAGGCCUCGUACUAUUAGAGUUGGACAUAUCUUUAUAUAUUAGACUUUCCUUUGUCUAAUAUCCGAUGUGGGACUUAACUUGUUAUCUCACAUUCUCUCCCUCAAGCUAAGAACCACAUUCAUCUCGUAUGUUUUCUUCGGCGAAUCAUCUUUGGUAACACCUUGUACCAGUAAUCGCAGGGCUUUCUUUUUAGAAUGUUUCUCCCACAACACAUCACAGGUUCUAUGAUCUUUUGACGUUUCUGCAACAUACCUUCUCUUUCUUUUUCUACCCGUUCUUACUUAAAGGGUAUUUUAGUCUUCUUGCAGAUUUCUCGUCAACCUGGCUCUGAUACCAAUUGUUGGGAUUGUGAAAUCCCGUGUCCAACUCUAUCUUAUCUUAUUAGUACGAUAUUGUCCACUUUGGGCCUAGGAGGCUAGCCCGCAUGGAUUUACUUUUGGUUUCCUUCCCAAAAGGCCUCGUACUAUUAGAGUUGGACAUAUCUUUAUAUAUUAGACUUUCCUUUGUCUAAUAUCCGAUGUGGGACUUAACUUGUUAUCUCACAGAGGGGCAUCCUAUUUUCCCAGCAAAUAGCAGCACCGAGUUUGCCAAGGGGAGUGUCGUAGACAGGGAUGGUUGAUCCAUCUCCGUAACCCCAUAUGCAACGUUCCAGAGAUGUGGGCAUGACUUUACGGUGUUUGCCCAAAAAGCGACCUUCGGAACUGAAGAAAAGGGCUGUGCAAUAGAGUGUAUACCCAUCCUUCUCCAUCGCUCCCAUCAUCAAGUACACUUUGUUUUUCCUAGCCAUCUCCGCCAGCUGGUCUACUUCAGGGCCUUUAGAUUCAUGUCCAAAAAGGAGUUAUUUACGUCCCAAUCAUGCUCUCAGUUUGAACUAUAACAAAUUUAACCGUUACCACUUUUGCAAAUGAAAGUUACAUUUGGUUUACUCAUUUCUCACACCAUUAAUUUAAUCAGAUAUUUGUCCCAAAAUAAAUCAAUCUAAAUUUUUCAUAUACAAUAUUUAUUUACGGAAUUUUGAAUACUAAUAUUAAAAUCGAUAUUCGGAAAUUUAAUUUUGGGAACCUAUCCCUAAGCGCAGAAUACAAGAAACAUGAAGUAUACUUACGAAAUAAACAUUAAAAUAAUGAUAUCAUCCAAAGAUUGGAACUUUACCAGGAACUACAAUGGCAGAAGCAUGAUAUCUGCGGAAACAGUCACGACCAGCUUCAUUAUGAACGCCAACCCCUAUGCCAAACCUAUAUCCACGAGGAUAGCCACCGAUAUAGGCCUCGGGGAACACCACCAGCUGCGCUCCGUCACUCG
rnacentral:lncRNA from 1 species